rnacentral:rRNA from 1 species
UACGUAGGGACCAAGCGUUGUUCGGAUUUACUGGGCGUAAAGGGCGCGUAGGCGGCGUGUUAAGUCAGCUGUGAAAUCUCCAAGCUUAACUUGGAACGGUCAGCUGAUACUGAUGUGCUAGAGUGCAGAAGGGGCAAUCGGAAUUCUUGGUGUAGCGGUGAAAUGCGUAGAUAUCAAGAGGAACACCUGAGGUGAAGACGGGUUGCUGGGCUGACACUGACGCUGGAGGCGCGAAAGCUAGGGUAGCAAACGGG